rnacentral:lncRNA from 1 species
AGUGAGGAAAAAUAGACAUAGGUGUUGCUCUUCUGAACUUAAGUUCUAGAGUUAGAGAAAAAUAUUAGUCAGAUAUUAAUAUGUAUAAAUGCAAAGUUGGAACUGUUUUCAUUUGCUGUAGAGAAGUACAUGGUUUUUAAUAUGAGGGCUUUUGGAAGGAUAAUUUAAUCAAUUAGUGGGACCACACCAAGGGAAGGGUUUGUUUUUUGUUUGAGAAAGUGUUUAGUUAGCUGAAAUCUUGAUGAAUUUGAGUUACGUUGAUCAAGAGGGAGAAAAAAGUUGGUGGAAGAAAGGAGGAUCUAUGUACAAGAUCCUCAUGUGGGAAGAUUUUAGUACCUAACAUUAAAUGAAAGUCAGAAUGACAGAAGCCAAGGACUAGAGAGUGCAUGGAAAGAGGUUAUGCUAAGGAUUUAUGUCAGAGCCAAAUUGCAGGAUAUUGUGGGCCAAGGUUUUUUAUCCUUAGAGUUAUUAUUUAAAUUUAAACUAAUAUUCUUUACACUCUACAAAGACUUACCACUGCAGUUGACCCUUGAGCAGCUUGGGAGUUAGUGAUGCCACUCCUACAAGCAGUCAAAAACCCAAGGAUAAUUUAUAGUUGGCCUUAUUAUCUGAGGUUCCUCUGUGUGGGAAGAUUCAACCAAUUGCAGAUCCCAUAAUACUGUAGUAUUUAUUAUUGGGGAAAAAAAAUCUGGAUUUUUUGGAUACACAUAGUUCAGACUCCUGUUGUUCAAGAGUCAGCUGUACUUGCUCCGGUGGUUGUAUUCUAAGAGUUCAUUUUUCUUUCAGUUUAAGACUUACAGUGCUUUUCCUAUGGAAUCAUUGUUGUAGAGAUCAAGUCUCCUAAAACAUUUUUAACACAGUUAACAGUGGAAGGUAGUGAAUAUUAACAUUGAGCCCUUAAGAAAACUAGGUGGAAGAUAGAAAAGAAAAACAAAAAAGGGGAUUAAAAUUGGUAUCUCUACAUACUCAAGAGAAUGUCCUGAGUGUGAUUGACUGAGUUUGAAUAAUAAGGAAAAAAGUCUGCAAGUGUAGGAGGCUAGUGUAGGAGAUCCUAGCAAAUGAUUAUCAUAUUCAGUUGGACAGCUUAAGACCCUCACUUGGUACCUGUAUGAAGCAGUGUGAUAUCCGAAGCAUACCAAGGCAGGGAAAGUAGAAGACAUCAUAUUCACAAAUUCAAUGUUCCAAAUCUAGGAAAUAUUUGUGUCAAUGUUAUUAAAACAUAAAAUUAAAAAAUAUAUUUUAAGUAGAAUUGCAAAAUGGUAAUACAAUGCCAACUGUGUUUUGGUUUUUUUAGAGUAAAAAAGUAAGAAGUUAGAAGAAUUAUAUUUUACUAAUGCUCAUAUUUAUUUGUUUGUUUUUUGGUUUAUUUUUAGCCACACCCAUGGCAUCUGGAAGUUCAUGGCCAGGGAUCAAAUCUAAGCCUCAGCUGAGGCCUACAUCACAAGCUGUGGCAAUGCCAGAUCCUUAACCCUCUGUGCUGGGCCAGGGAUUGAACUCAUGCUACCACAGAGAUGAGAUGGCAUCCUUAACCUGCUGUGGCACAGCAGGAACUCCUGAAGUAGUACUUUUAAAGACAAAGUUGAAGGAAUUUAAUUUUUAAUCUUAUUUUCCAUUUAACUUAGAACAUCGUCAAUAAGAUAGUUUCAUUUCUUGUUGAUAUUUAAAUUUUAAGCCUCUUUGAACACCAGCUUACAUCUAUAUUAGUAAACAAUCUAGUUAAUAAAGUUUAUUAAGAAUAUUAUAAAAAGAUGGAUCAGUUACUUGAAUUUUAUCAAGACCAAAAUGUCACAAAAAAAAUGUGUUAAAUUGUAAGGAAAAGGUAAAAUAUAUGCAAGCAUUCACUGAAUAGUCAUCACAAUACUGUUGGUUGAGGAAUUCUGCCAGUACAUCAUCCUUUAUCAGGUGAUCUUGAACUUUAACUUUCUGGCAUUCUCAAGUAUGGCUUUUAAAGCAGAUUAACAUCUAAAAUUAAGAACUGCAGAAUUGACUUUAGUGGUUAUUUACUCAUGUAUUUGCACUUUUACUUACAAAACAUUCUAAAUUAGAAAGUAUCACUACCAUUUAUUUAUUUAUUUUUGCAGUGUCUAGCAGACUACUGGUAUUCAGAGACCAUAAAUAUUUGGGAAGCUUAUUGGGGUUUGAAAACACAGUUUAAUAAAUUUAUCUGAUAUCUCUAAGGGUCAUCGUACCUUUUAAACAGAAAUGAAGAAUCACUUGGAAAUUAUUAGGGAUUGAUGUGUUCCCUCUGUUUUACAGGUUUCUACUUGUCUAUCAAAGUAUAUUCCAAAAAUCCCUAGUUCUGUGAUAAUAGGUAUGGCCAUCCUCACCUAUCUCCCAUGAGAUUUCUUCAUUGACGUUUUGAAAACUUGAUUAAAGAAUACUGAACAGGAUUUUUUUUUACCAUAAUAGCAAUCACUAACAUUUAUUGAAUGCUUACUUUGUGCCAGUCACUAUGCUAAGAGUUUUACAUACAUUAUCUUAUUUAAUCUUAACAACCAGAAAAAACACUUGGAAGAAUAUUCAAGAAGUAUUUCCUUGUAUUACUUCACAGCUUAUAAGCACCAGUGCAAGAACUUCUGUUAAGAAUAUAAUAGUGAGAAAAAUACCAUUUUCUGUUCUUAAAAAUCCUGUGGCUUUGGGAAAGAAGAUUAUGAAAUUUAUCCUUAAAAUUAAACAUUGAACUUAAUAAUGUUUUCUAUGCUCUUCUAACCAUAGUAUUCACAGAUAAUCAGUGAAAACCAUUAUAUUCUUUUAUGACUAGGAAACAACCUUUAAGGCUUCAGAGAGAUGCCUGGGUUUGAACACAGGUUCUAUAGUGUUCAAACACAGGCCACUAUAGUGUUCAACUUUGGUGAGCUGUUAAGGUUCUGAAAUUGAGUUUCUCUGUAAAAUUAGUAUAGUGGUACAUUUCUCACAGAGUUAGUUGUGACUAUUAAGUGAUAGAGUACCAAGCGUAUAUGAAGUCCUAGCAUAUGGUGUACAUUCACUGAAACUUGGUUUUCUUUCUUUUUCCUUCUCUUCUUUUUCUGUUAGUAAUAACCAUGUUUUAGAAUCUUCAUGAAAUUAUAUACACAUUAAAUUUUUAAAUUGUUUUCCUUUUAAAAAGUAAUCUAUUUCUCCUAAAAUUAUUUUAAAACUUUCCUUAAAUUCUGAUUUGAGGGCUUGAUUUACUCCAUCUUUUUGCUUUUCUGCAUUUUGCUAAUGAAAUGGGCACUUGUAAAUGUUGUUGAACUCAGAUAUAAAUUUAAGUAGCCACACUUCAUUAAUGUAAACACUCUACUGAAAGCUUACAGCUAUGCUUUUGGUUCUUAUUAAGUGAAAGAAUAUUAAAUAGAGUUCCUUUUUUUGUCUUUAUUUCCCCACACUAAACAGGCGAUAGUGCAAAGAAGUUAAGUGCCUGGACUCUAGGGCAAAUCUGUUUGGAAUCAAAUCCCUACUUUACCACUUAACUAUGUGACACCUGCAUCUCAAUUUACACAUUAGUAAAAUGGGUGUAAUAAUUGUGCCCACCUUAGGGCAUAUAUCUAUAUCUAUCUAUAUAUAACUGUUAAAAAUGCCUUGCACAUACUGAGUGCCGUAACAGUGUUAACUGUUAAUAGUGAUUAUAUGUAUUAUCUGUAGAUGAAUAUGUAUUAUCUGUAUAUCAGUUGUAUUAUAGAAAAAAUUGUUACUACUGUUCUGGUAAGAGUCUAAUUUGGUAAUUUUUCAUUUGGUAGAAUAAAAACAAAUUCAGUUUAAUUUACGGUUCCAUGAAAAGUAUGUAGCAUUUGUAUUUGCAAAUUCUUCACUUUUUUUUUUACUUCUUAAUCGUAUUAUUGGAGAUAGUGAAAAAUCCCUGUUGUUUCUGGUGAAGAAGCUAAGACAUAAGUAAAUUUAGGAGCUUUUAAAGCAUAGCAGUUUUUAAAGUUAGUAGAAAGUUAGUAUUCAGAGUAUUCCAUGUGCUAUUAUGUUGAGCCAUGCAUCUCUACUCCUUAUUAAAUAUUCAAACAACAAACCUAUUAGUUGGCAAACUAAAUGUUAAAGGGAUAUUAUUCUGUUCUUCAAGACUUUCAUUGGCUUAUGUCUCCUUUGGAUGUGUUCUCUUAAGAUUGAUUCACUUAGCCUUAAAUUAAUUCAAAGAUUGUAUGCAAAAAAAUUGUCUUUGCUGGCAUUGGACUAAUUAAAGCUAAGUGGUGGUGGCCCAGCUAUCCUUUAGGACAUUUGUGGGUGGAGUAUCUUUUUUAGUAAUCAGCUGCCUUCCCUUCCUGCCUCAUUUGAUGAAAUGGAAAAUUUCUCUACAAUUUCUCAUAGUAUCAGUAACCAUUGUAGUAAUACUGUGCUUUUCUGAACCAUCCAAGAAACUUAACCGUCAUUCUUAAUAUUAGUUUCUAUGAAAAAUGAUUCCAAGUUUCAAAGAAUAAAUUGAAAAGCACUAGGAUUAUAAGAACAGUUUUCUGGUUUUUUUUUAGAAAGAUACAUUAGAGAAACAUUUAAAAUAUUUGUUUUUUCUUGUUUAAAAUACUGCACAUUGUCUCUAAUUAAUCAAUUUAAGAAAGUUAUGAACAGUUUGUUUGGAAUCCAGAAAAUAAUAAAUGAUGAUGACUAGAAAACUCAAAAGCAUCCCUUUAAGAGAGAAUUGUAAAUGUUACUUAGACAAGUAAUAGAAAAGUGUCAUUUAGGAGUAGUAAAUAAUUUACUAUGAAUUUUCUCUUUAAAACUAACAAAACUUAAAACUUAGUAUUUUAGUCUAAUAAUUUGGAAAUCUUUAUAGGUGCUUUCACAUCAGUGCCACUUUUAUUAUAGAAAACUAAACAAGGAUAAAUUUAUAUAUGUUGAAAAUAGCAGUAUUGACUCAAACACAAAAUAUCCUGUUUUCCAUCCUUGUGAAAUAAUGUUUAAAUUGUAAACAAAUUUGGAAAAAUGUUUUUCUCUAUCUUUUUUUAUAUUUUUUAUUCUUAUUUUUUUUUAGUGUUUUCAUGUAUACACUCUACCGAUUAUUAGGGGCAUAGACUCAGGGAACCUAGUCACCUAAUAACCGAAUUUGAAAACUCUCAAAUUAUUUUGUAAAUCCUGUUGUGAUUAAACCACUUUAAGUUUCUCCUAAAAAAAAAGUCAAGUUAUGUUUAAAAUAAUCUUUUUUAAAGUUAUGGCUUCUGAAAAGGAUUAUUUCUUGAAAGGAGAUUGUGAACAUUUUAGAAUAUUAUUAAGGCUACCAUCAGCUGCUAAGGGACAUCAAAUCCUGACUCAAGGAAAUAGUAAUUUUUCAUAAGUAGGAAUUUUUCUAAAGUAGAGAAAAGAUGUACAUUGUUGUCUGUUACAUAUGCAAUUAGGUAAAAAAAGUCCUAGGACUUAAGAAGCAAUCUCAGGUUUUUCAUAGCGGUGUAGAGAAGUAUAAAUAUUUAUUCAGUUGCUUGUUCUACACAUGUUAACUACAUGAUAUGAGCCAUGUAUGCAGCAAAAAAUAAGACAGGUAGGUAUAUGAUAUCAUAUGGUAUUUGUCUUUCUCUUUCUGACUUACUUCACUCGGUAUGAGAGACUGUAGUUCCAUUCAUGUUGCUGCAAAUGAAAAGACUUAGAGAAAAGACUUGUGGUUGCCAAGGGGGAGGGGGAGGGAGUAGGAUGGAUUGGGAGCUUGGGGUUAAUAGAUGCAGACUAUUGCCUUGGGAAUGGAUUAGCAAUGAGAUCCUGUUGUGUAGCACUGGGAGCUAUGUCUAGUCACAUGAUGGAGCAUGAUAAUGUGAGAAAAAAGAAUGUAUACGUGUAUGUGUAACUGAGUCACCAUGCUGUACAGUAGAAAAAAA